AGAGUUUGAUCCUGGCUCAGGACGAACGCUGACGGUGUGCUUUAGACAUGCAAGUCGAACGAGAAAGCCCUUCGGGGUGAGUACAGUGGCGAACGGGUGAGUAACACGUGGGCAAUCUGCCCCUCGCAGGGGGACAACCGGGGGAAACCCCGGCUAAUACCCCGUACGCUUACGGAGCCGCAUGGCUCCAUAAGGAGAGGUAGCUUCGGCCAUCCGGCGAGGGAUGAGCCCGCGGUACAUUAGCUAGUUGGUGAGGUAACGGCUCACCAAGGCGACGAUGUAUAGCUGGUCUGAGAGGAUGAUCAGCCACACUGGGACUGAGACACGGCCCAGACUCCUACGGGAGGCAGCAGUCGGGAAUCUUGCGCAAUGGGCGAAAGCCUGACGCAGCAACACCGUGUGAGCGACGAAGGCCUUCGGGUCGUAAAGCUCUGUUGUUGGGGACGAAGGGUUAGGGGUUAAUAGCCCCGAGCCUGACGGUACCCUUCGAGGAAGCCCCGGCUAACUACGUGCCAGCAGCCGCGGUAAUACGUAGGGGGCGAGCGUUGUCCGGAAUUAUUGGGCGUAAAGAGCGUGUAGGCGGUUCGGUAAGUCUGCCGUGAAAACCCAGGGCUCAACCCUGGGCGUGCGGUGGAUACUGCCGGGCUAGAGGGUGGUAGAGGCGAGUGGAAUUCCCGGUGUAGCGGUGAAAUGCGCAGAUAUCGGGAGGAACACCAGUAGCGAAGGCGGCUCGCUGGGCCACACCUGACGCUGAGACGCGAAAGCGUGGGGAGCAAACAGGAUUAGAUACCCUAGUAGUCC
rnacentral:rRNA from 1 species